GUAGGUGGCAAGCGUUGUCCGGAAUUAUUGGGCGUAAAGCGCGCGCAGGCGGUUCUUUAAGUCUGAUGUGAAAGCCCACGGCUCAACCGUGGAGGGUCAUUGGAAACUGGAGAACUUGAGUACAGAAGAGGAAAGCGGAAUUCCACGUGUAGCGGUGAAAUGCGUAGAGAUGUGGAGGAACACCAGUGGCGAAGGCGGUUUUCUGGUCUGUAACUGACGCUGAGGCGCGAAAGCGUGGGGAGCAAACAGGGAUUAGAUACCCUGGUAGUCCACGCCGUAAACGAUGAGUGCUAAGUGUUAGGGGGUUUCCCGCCCCUUAGUGCUGCAGCUAACGCAUUAAGCACUCCGCCUGGGGAGUACGGCCGCAAGGCUG
rnacentral:rRNA from 1 species